GGCAUGGUGGCUUAGUGGUAAGCAUGUUUGGCUCACACCUCCGGGGUCGGGGGUUCGAAUCCUGCCUCCGCCC